rnacentral:rRNA from 1 species
AAAAAAGGUAAGCUACUAAGAGCGAAUGGUGGAUGCCUUGACUGGUAAAGGCGAUGAAGGACGUACUAGACUGCGAUAAGCUACGGGGAGCUGUCAAGAAGCUUUGAUCCGUAGAUUUCCGAAUGGGGCAACCCAAUGUAUAGAGAUAUACAUUACCUAUAUAGGAGCGAACGAGGGGAAUUGAAACAUCUUAGUACUCUCAGGAAAAGAAAUCAAUAGAGAUUGCGUCAGUAGCGGCGAGCGAAAGCGCAAGAGGGCAAACCCAGUGCUUGCACUGGGGGUUGUAGGACUGCAAUGUGCAAGAGGUAAGUUUAGCAGAACAUUCUGGAAAGUAUAACCAUAGAGGGUGAUAGUCCCGUAUGCGAAAAACAAACCUUAGCUAGCAGUAUCCUGAGUAGGGCGGGACACGAGGAAUCCUGUCUGAAUCCGGGUCGACCACGAUCCAACCCUAAAUACUAAUACCAGAUCGAUAGUGCACAAGUACCGUGAGGGAAAGGUGAAAAGAACUGAGGUGAUCAGAGUGAAAUAGAACCUGAAACCAUUUGCUUACAAUCAUUCAGAGCCCUAUGUAGCAAUACAGGGUGAUGGACUGCCUUUUGCAUAAUGAGCCUGCGAGUUGUGGUGUCUGGCAAGGUUAAGCAAACGCGAAGCCGUAGCGAAAGCGAGUCUGAAUAGGGCGCUUAGUCAGAUGCUGCAGACCCGAAACGAAGUGAUCUAUCCAUGAGCAAGUUGAAGCUAGUGUAAGAACUAGUGGAGGACUGAACCCAUAGGCGUUGAAAAGCCCCGGGAUGACUUGUGGAUAGGGGUGAAAGGCCAAUCAAACUUCGUGAUAGCUGGUUCUCUCCGAAAUAUAUUUAGGUAUAGCGUUGUGUCGUAAUAUAAGGGGGUAGAGCACUGAAUGGGCUAGGGCAUACACCAAUGUACCAAACCCUAUCAAACUCCGAAUACCUUAUAUGUAAUCACAGCAGUCAGGCGGCGAGUGAUAAAAUCCGUCGUCAAGAGGGAAACAACCCAGACUACCAGCUAAGGUCCCUAAAUCUUACUUAAGUGGAAAACGAUGUGAAGUUACUUAAACAACCAGGAGGUUGGCUUAGAAGCAGCCAUCCUUUAAAGAAAGCGUAAUAGCUCACUGGUCUAGUGAUUUUGCGCGGAAAAUAUAACGGGGCUAAAGUAAGUACCGAAGC